AAAGCGUCCGUAACCGGUUUUAUAAAUCUUCAGAUAAAUUCUUCCGCUUAACGGAAGAACUUCUGAAGAGACUGUAAGACUUGGGACCGGGUGAAGUUGAAUGUACUUUUGGGGUAGGGGUAAAAUCCUGUAAUCCUGAAAGGACGACCGGUGGCGAAAGCGUUCAACUAGAACGGAUCCGACGGUGAGGGACGAAGGCUAGGGGAGCAAACCGGGUCAGAUACCCGGGUAGUCCUAGCUGUAAACGCUGCCCACUUGGUGUUGCCUCUCCGUUGAGGGGGGGCAGUGCCGUAGCGAAGGUGUUAAGUGGGUCACUUGGGGAGUACGGUCGCAAGGCUGAAACUUAAAGGAAUUGGCGGGGGAGCACCGCAACGGGAGGAGCGUGCGGUUUAAUUGGAUUCAACGCCGGAAAACUCACCGGGAGCGACCUUCGGAUGAGGGUCAACCUGACGAAUUUACCCGAUAGAAGGAGAGGUGGUGCAUGGCCGUCGUCAGCUCGUACCGUAGGGCGUUCACUUAAGUGUGAUAACGAGCGAGACCCCCAUCUCUAAUUGCUAAAACAUUCUAGCGAAUGUUUGCACUUUAGAGGGACCGCCGGUGCUAAACUGGAGGAAGGAGGGGUCGACGGCAGGUCAGUACGCCCCGAAUCUCCCGGGCUACACGCGCGCUACAAAGGACGGGACAAUGAGCUGCAACCUCGAAAGGGGAAGCUAAUCUCGAAACCCGUUCGUAGUCAGGACUGAGGGCUGUAACUCGCCCUCACGAAUGUGGAUUCCGUAGUAAUCGUAGGUCAACAGCCUACGGUGAAUAUGUCCCUGCUCCUUGCACACA
rnacentral:rRNA from 1 species